AUUGAACGCUGGCGGCAUGCCUUACACAUGCAAGUCGAACGGCAGCACGGGAGCAAUCAUGGUGGCGAGUGGCGAACGGGUGAGUAAUAUAUCGGAACGUGCCCAGUAGUGGGGGAUAGCCCGGCGAAAGCCGGAUUAAUACCGCAUACGACCUGAGGGUGAAAGCGGGGGAUCGCAAGACCUCGCGCUAUUGGAGCGGCCGAUAUCAGAUUAGCUUGGUGGUGGGGUAAAAGCCUACCAAGGCGACGAUCUGUAGCUGGUCUGAGAGGACGGCCAGCCACACUGGGACUGAGACACGGCCCAGACUCCUACGGGAGGCAGCAGUGGGGAAUUUUGGACAAUGGGCGCAAGCCUGAUCCAGCCAUGCCGCGUGCGGGAAGAAGGCCUUCGGGUUGUAAACCGCUUUUGUCAGGGAAGAAACGGCUCUUGAUAAUACCGAGAGCUAAUGACGGUACCUGAAGAAUAAGCACCGGCUAACUACGUGCCAGCAGCCGCCGUAA
rnacentral:rRNA from 1 species